UUAAGUGCCCUUCCUCUGUUGAGCUCCAAACACCAUAGACCAGACAACUGCUGAGCGUGUGAGUAAAGGUGUGCGGAAGCUAUUGCUACUCAGGAAGCCACGGGGUCACCUGGAGGUGGCACUAGGCAGAGAGACACAUGAGAGUCACUGUUGCGGCCUUGGGUUCAGCCUCGGUCGCAUGCUGCUGGGUCCCAGGAAGGCUCUGGAUCCCCAGUGAGCCUUCAUUUCCUCCACUGUGAAAUAAGGCGCCUUGCACCCGAGGAGUGGUACACACGGACAUCACACUCACAGGACACUGCCUACACAAUUCAACGCAGGCUCCUACUGCUUAAGGGUUGGCUUAGGCCAGUCUGGGGAAGAAACGGCUUAAAGGGAUCCAGUCUUGGGGGAGCCCUACACUUCUUACCUUCAGAAUUCAAGUAGGCUUGCUUUGGAGGGUCAUAGAGAAAAAUCUCCACCAGGAGGGAAUGAACUCCUCUGAAGUGCUGUGAAACUUCACAACGAGGUCUGAUCACAGGGGAGCCUGGGAGUCAGGGCUCACCUCCAAGAUCUUCAGAUCCUCUCUGGCCGGCGCAGGGACUGCCCAGCCCAACCACCCGCGCCUGCGCAUACCACCAUGUGAGAAGCCCUCCUGAGGUCUGCAGCAUCCUCCAGCCCUGCAAAGAGCCCCUACCCCCAGUAUCACGUGACCAGAGUAUUGCUCAGCCGGAGCUCGGCAUUUUACCCAGAACAUUAAUUGUCUGAUGGUCAAGAAAACAAUAGAAGCCAAUUCUAAUACAUCUACAAGGAAAAUGAGAAAACACACACACACACUGCAUGCACUCGAGUACUUAAAAAAAAAAAAAGAACUUGGGUAUUACAUGAAUGGUGAAUUUAUCAGACCUGAAAUGUGAAAGUAACUCUCAUUAUGAUGUGAAGAGUUCUAAGGGAUGAAGUGGACUGUGGGAGCCAACAAGGUGGCAAAGUGUCAUUUGAGAGUGUCUGUGGAUCGAUGGAAAGUCUGGGACAAGCACUUUAAAAAAGGAAAGACAGCCCACCACCCAUCAGGGGUAGAAGAAAAGAAAGGAUACAGGGGAAGUGGACCCAUUUAGAAAUGGCUCUUUGGAGUAACUCCCAUCUGUGUUGUCAGGAAACCAGCAGUUCAGUUUGAAGAUCAGCAGCAACUGGAUCCCCUCGAAAGCAUUUUAUGGAUAUACCAGCAGACCGGUAGUGUUGGGAUAGCAGCAGUGGUGGCACAGCCUAGCAGGAACAGCCAGGCCUCAGCCCAAUCUGCGCAAGUCAGCAGGAGGGAUUCACUAUUCCAUACAACUUUUGGUGUUGGGCCAGGGCCAACAGGAACACCAGAAAAUUUCAGCUGUGCCUCCCUCAGUGAAGAGAUCAGUGAAGAUGAGAUACCAACAAGCGUUGCACAGCUAGUUCUACCAGCAAAUCCAGCCAAGCCUCUGUCACUGUCCACUGAGUCCUUUUUAUACUCUCUCCAAAUAUUGCAGAUCCUCCACGGUUCUUGUCUCAGCCUUAGCAUGCGUGUCUGUCUCAGCUGACAUCAUUCUGCCAAUCAGCCAGAGCCCAGAGAAGCGGCAAGAAGUGCAGCACCCCAUCCGAACUUUUUUGGUGUGUUUCUCUCUAUAGAGUCCCAACAAAUGCAGCUCAACUAAGCAGUGUAAGGCGGACCAAUACAUGCAUGCCUGUAG